rnacentral:rRNA from 1 species
GUAAGGGAUAUUGCGCAAUGGGCGAAAGCCUGACGCAGCAACGCCGCGUGCCCGAUGAAGGCCUUCGGGUCGUAAAGGGCUUUUCUGGCUGAAGAGGAAGGACGGUAAGCCAGGAAAAAGUGUCGGCUAACUACGUGCCAGCAGCCGCGGUAAAACGUAGGACGCGAGCGUUAUCCGGAGUUACUGGGCGUAAAGGGCGGGCAGGCGGACCGACAAGAUGGGUGUGAAAUCUCCCGGCUCAACCGGGAGGGGCCACUCGUGACUGUUGGUCUGGAGGGUGACAGAGGCGCGUGGAAUUCCGGGUGGAGUGGUGAAAUGCGUAGAGAUCCGGAGGAACACCAGAGGCGAAGGCGGCGCGCUGGGUCACAACUGACGCUGAACCGCGAAAGCCAGGGCAGCGAACGGGAUUAGAAACCCGUGUAGUCC